GUGCUUGCAGGUGCAGCACCAUCAAGAUUCACAUCGAGUUCAUCCAAAACUAGAGGUUGCUAGUAGCUAGCAGCCAGCUUAAGCUUGCUAGCUGCGUAUAUGUAUACAGAUGUGAUGAGAAUCUUGAUGAUGCUGCAUCAGCAAACGC
rfam:Leersia perrieri chromosome 2, whole genome shotgun sequence.